rnacentral:rRNA from 1 species
GGUGAAAGCUUACAUCUCUUCGGAGCAUUUUACGAGGUGCUGCAUGGUUGUCGUCAGCUCGUGCCGUGAGAUGUUGGGUUAAGUCCCGUAACGAGCGCAACCCUUGUCCUUAGUUACCAGCACGUUAUGGUGGGCACUCUAAGGAGACUGCCGGUGACAAACCGGAGGAAGGUGGGGAUGACGUCAAGUCAUCAUGGCCCUUACGGCCUGGGCUACACACGUGCUACAAUGGUCGGUACAAAGGGUUGCCAAGCCGCGAGGUGGAGCUAAUCCCAUAAAACCGAUCGUAGUCCGGAUCGCAGUCUGCAACUCGACUGCGUGAAGUCGGAAUCGCUAGUAAUCGUGAAUCAGAAUGUCACGGUGAAUACGUUCCCGGGCCUU